GCAUAUCAAUAAGCGGAGGAAAAGAAACCAACAGGGAUUGCCUUAGUAGCGGCGAGUGAAGCGGCAAAAGCUCAAAUUUGAAAUCUGGCACUUUCAGUGUCCGAGUUGUAAUUUGAAGAAGGUAUCUUUGGGUCUGGCUCUUGUCUAUGUUUCUUGGAACAGAACGUCACAGAGGGUGAGAAUCCCGUGCGAUGAGAUGACCCAAACCUAUGUAAAGUUCCUUCGAAGAGUCGAGUUGUUUGGGAAUGCAGCUCUAAGUGGGUGGUAAAUUCCAUCUAAAGCUAAAUAUUGGCGAGAGACCGAUAGCGAACAAGUACAGUGAUGGAAAGAUGAAAAGAACUUUGAAAAGAGAGUGAAAAAGUACGUGAAAUUGUUGAAAGGGAAGGGCUUGAGAUCAGACUUGGUAUUUUGUAUGUUACUCUUUCGGGGGUGGCCUCUACAGUUUACCGGGCCAGCAUCAGUUUGGGCGGUAGGAGAAUUGCAAAGAAAUGUGGCACUGCUUCGGUAGUGUGUUAUAGUCUUUGUCGAUACUGCCAGCCUAGACUGAGGACUGCGGCUUCGGCCUAGGAUGUUGGCAUAAUGAUCUUAAGUCGCCCGUCUUGAAACACGGACC
rnacentral:rRNA from 1 species